UAGGGAAUCUUCCACUUUUGGGCGCAAGCCUGAUGGAGCAACACCGCGUGAGUGAAGAAGGGUUUCGGCUCGUAAAGCUCUGUUGUUAGAGAAGAACGUGCGUGAGAGCAACUGUUCACGCAGUGACGGUAUCUAACCAGAAAGUCACGGCUAACUACGUGCCAGCAGCCGCGGUAAUACGUAGGUGGCAAGCGUUAUCCGGAUUUAUUGGGCGUAAAGCGAGCGCAGGCGGCUUGAUAAGUCUGAUGUGAAAGCCUUUGGCUUAACCAAAGAAGUGCAUCGGAAACUGUCAGACUUGAGUGCAGAAGAGGACAGUGGAACUCCAUGUGUAGCGGUGGAAUGCGUAGAUAUAUGGAAGAACACCAGUGGCGAAGGCGGCUGUCUGGUCUGCAACUGACGCUGAGGCUCGAAAGCAUGGGUAGCGAACAGGAUUAGAUACCCUGGUAGUCCAUGCCGUAAACGAUGAGUGCUAGGUGUUGGAGGGUUUCCGCCCUUCAGUGCCGCAGCUAACGCAUUAAGCACUCCGCCUGGGGAGUACGACCGCAAGGUUG
rnacentral:rRNA from 1 species